GGGGAAUCUUCCGCAAUGGGCGAAAGCCUGACAGAGCAACGCCGCGUGAGGGAAGAAGGCCUUCGGGUUGUAAACCUCUGUUUUUAGGGACGAAAAGAUGACGGUACCUAAAGAGUAAGCUCCGGCUAACUACGUGCCAGCAGCCGCGGUAAUACGUAGGGAGCAAGCGUUGUCCGGAAUUACUGGGCGUAAAGGGCGCGUAGGUGGUCCAUUAAGUUAUAGGUGAAAGUUCGGGGCUUAACCCCGUGACUGCCUGUGAUACUGGUGGACUUGAGUGCAGGAGAGGGGAGUAGAAUUCCCAGUGUAGCGGUGAAAUGCGUAGAUAUUGGGAGGAAUACCAGUGGCGAAGGCGGCUCUCUGGACUGUAACUGACACUGAGGCGCGAAAGCGUGGGGAGCAAAC
rnacentral:rRNA from 1 species